rnacentral:rRNA from 1 species
AGUGAACGCUGGCGGUAGGCCUAACACAUGCAAGUCGAACGGCAGCACAGUAAGAGCUUGCUCUUACGGGUGGCGAGUGGCGGACGGGUGAGUAAUACAUCGGAAUCUACUUUUUCGUGGGGGAUAACGUAGGGAAACUUACGCUAAUACCGCAUACGACCUACGGGUGAAAGCAGGGGAUCUUCGGACCUUGCGCGAUUGAAUGAGCCGAUCUCGGAUUAGCUAGUUGGCGGGGUAAAGGCCCACCAAGGCGACGAUCCGUAGCUGGUCUGAGAGGGUGAACAGCCACACUGGAACUGAGACACGGUCCAGACUCCUACGGGAGGCAGCAGUGGGGAAUAUUGGACAAUGGGCGAGAGCCUGAUCCAGCCAUAUCGCGUGAGUGAAGAAGGCCUUCGGGUUGGAAAGCCCUUUUGUUGGGAGAGAAAAGCAGCAGGUUAAUACCCCGCUAUUCUGACGGUACCGAAAGAAUAAGCACCGGCUAACUUCGUG